AUCAGUCAGUGAUCGGUUCAAUAUGGGGAGAGCCAUUGCUCUGAGAGCUGUACGGAGAGUUAUUCAUGCUGUAUUCAGAAGGUCUGAAAAAUUCAUAAAGUGGCCCAGUGGUGAUCGCGCUGUCAGUGUGAUACGGGGAUUUGAGAAAGCUAGUGGAUUUCCAAGAACUAUCGGGGCCAUCGAUUGUACCCAUAUUCGUAUUGAUGCUCCAAAGAAGAAUCCUGCAGAUUAUGUUAACCGCAAAGGAUUUCAUUCCAUUUAGUUACAGUUGGUUUGUGACCAUAGGACUUUGAUCACACAUUGCUACACUGGAUAUCCUGGUUCUGUCCACGAUCAACGAAUUUUUCGAUGCUCGGAAGUGGCAAACUUCUUGAAGGACGAAGAGAAAUUUCCUGCAGACAGCCAUAUUUUGGGUGAUGCCGCAUAUGAACAGCAUCAACACCUGCUCACCCUUUUCCGAGACAAUGGUCAUUUGACUGCGAGACAAAACAAUUACAACUACCGACACUCAGCAGCCAGAGUAGCAGUCGAGAGAUGCAUUGGUUUAUUAAAAGGACGUAUGCGAAGUUUACUGCACUGCUUACCAAUGUCAAGGGUAGACUUGAUGGCAGAGUAUAUUGUAGCAUGUGUAAUUCACAACAUUUGUACAUUACGAGGAGAUGAAAUAGCUGUUGUCAUAGUACCUCCACCUCCAGAAGACAAUGUGAUAGAUGACAAUGUUUUGCAUGAAGCAAGACAAAAUAUUGGUGUUCACAAAAGAAAUUUGAUUAUGUAUAGUUUGCCCUAGGUAAACUAAAUUGAUGUCCGUUAUGAACGUGUUGGAUUUAUGUUUAUUUAAGUGUCUGUACUCUGUAUUCAUAAUGAUGUGAGUGAUUACAUAAUAAAGUUACACAAAAAUACUUAGCAGAAA